UACGUAGGGGGCUAGCGUUGUCCGGAAUCAUUGGGCGUAAAGCGCGUGUAGGCGGCCCGGUAAGUCCGCUGUGAAAGUCCAGGGCUCAACCCUCGAAUGCCGGUGGAUACUGUCGGGCUAGAGUGCGGAAGAGGCGAGUGGAAUUCCUGGUGUAGCGGUGAAAUGCGCAGAUAUCAGGAGGAACACCGAUUGCGAAGGCAGCUCGCUGGGACGUCACUGACGCUGAGACGCGAAAGCGUGGGGAGCAAACAGG
rnacentral:rRNA from 1 species